GCCUCAUCGCGCAUCUAUAGAAAUGUGGAACAGUAUAUCCAGGUUUGGGCAAUCAUCGAAAGUCUGUGAGCAUACUUAGAGAAUGAGUAUUGAUCACUCAACUGGUUGUAGUAGGGACAACGUGAACAGAAGACCAAUGCUGAUGUGUGCUCCGAGCGUCCGACACUCCAGCAGAAGCGUGAACACUAACACAAUCUUCAUUACCGACUGAUCAAAGGCAUUCUCUGUAAAAGUGCGCGUCGGACUGAAAACUGUUAUCGGCUUCUACACGUCAUUGAAGAUAUUUAGAGAUUAACGACUGGUGGGACACACUCACCUCUGUAAUACUGGAAAGAGGGAAAUAGAAAUAUCUCUUCCUGAAAAUCAAGUUUGAGCUGUUGGCUACAUUCUUUGAAAGGAAAAUACCAAAAGUGAAGUCCUUAUGUUGUGGAUGGGGACAGAAUUGCUGCUGCUUAUUAUUUUCCAAGUGAAUUCAGCCCAGAACUCUGAACUACCUGCAGUAAUGGACAGUGACAUGCUCCCCCAAUUUGCACACCAACCUGGGCCAUCAUACAUGAGUCUGAUCCUGUUGGCUUUGACUGUGGGACUGUCGGGUAGUGUCUACCUCUGCGUGCUGCGGUACAUUUGCACAGGCUGUUGUCAGCCUGUAGUUGUCAGACCGGAGGACGACAGCCUGUCAGGUGUAGUUUGAUAGCAGGUUAUGUUUGUGAAGGUUGUGCGUACGAGUGUCCGUGAAUGUGUAGGCCUGUAAGCACUUAUUUUAGUCACUCUAAAUAAUUAAAACAGGUGCUGUCUAUCUGAAGUCAAUUAUUUUGGCCAUGUUUAUAUUUAAGUUGUACACGUUGGUUGAGGAAAGCCCCAGUAACCUACUGUAUGUAUUUUACACUGUAAAAAGUGGUAGCCUUCAGUUGAUCCCUUAAAGGAGUAUUCCAGGUUCAAUAAAAGUUUAGCUCAUUCAACGGUCUCUCCUUAUCUUUAAAAUAAGCAAAAUCAAGGUUACGUUGAGGCACAAUUUUAUAAAAGCACUUACAUUAAUUCUUCUGUUAAAACUGAAAUAUUAUUUGAGCUGUAAAGUUGUUUAAUUCGUAAUUUUUACAGUGUUACGUUGACAUGGCAUUCUGUAUAUAAAUGUACACAGAAAAGGCAAGUAAUUUUAUCACACUAAAAUGAUGUCAUCACACAUAUUGUUUAUGUCUUGUGGCUAUACUUUGAAACAGAGAUUAUUUUAACAAUUAUGGAUUGGUUCCAUUCACUUCCAUUAUCAUCUCUGUGUAACCUAGAUUGUUUCUUUUUUUUAAAGAAAAGGAGGGGCAAGUCAAAAAUACAUUUUACUGGUAGUCAGCAUUAUUCCACAAAUGCUGUUAAUUGAGCUUAAUACAUUUUAAUUUAAGGAGCUAUUUUUGCUUGAUCUAACCCUUCAAAUCAGUUUUGUUAGUGUAUUGCAAUGUACUCAGGUUCAUUCAGUGAUGUUAAAUAACAUUUUUGGAUUCAGUCAAACAAGUUAAUUUACAUGUUACCACAUUAAGCACAUUUUUAGGUUGUUUUUUCAGCGUAUGUUUGGGAUGCUAUGUUUCUAAGAAAACAUUGUGCAACAAUAAACCAUUCAUUCUUUAAUUCACAUAACAUACCUGAAGGCUCCUCUUAGGGACAUCGGAAUGUUAGAAAUCAUCAUUUUAAAGCAUGACUGCAUGUGGACACUAUCAGCAUUCAGCAUGCAACUUUUUCAAUCAGAGAUUUGAGCAGCUGCAGGAACAGACUGCAUUUGUACGCAAGUAUUGAUCGAGAGGGAGAUGUGAAUUUUAAAUAGUUUAACAAUAGACUCUAAAUGCUCUGUCAAUCAAAAGGAUUCACACUCACAUAUCCUAUCUUUGCUUUGAUAUGUCACAAAACUCUGAUGAACCACACAUGCUGUGGUUUGAAUAAUUAUUUGCCAAUACACAGAUACAGCAUUUAUGUUAAAAAUAAAAAUGUGUGGGGGACCUGGGUAGCUCAGUAUGUAUUGAUACUGAUUACCACACCUGGAGUCGCAAGUUCGAAUCCCGGUUGCUAGGGUGGGUUAACCUCCUCGUGGUCGCUAUAUUGUGGUUAGCUGUCAGUGGGGCACGUGGUAAGUUGUGCAUGGAUGCCACGGAGAAUAGCGGGAAGCCUCCACACGCGCUCUAUAUAUAUAUAUACAAAUUUGCCCAUUACUUACAACAGAGUUUGAGUAAUUUUUAGAAUAAACCAAUCACAGUAUUAUUGUGGCCAUGGCGAUGUAGUUAUUUAUAACACUUAUAACCAUUACCAGUACCUUUGUGAACAGAAUUUGUACCAUAUUAUAUUGCUUAUACUGUCACUGAUAAGUGGCCUCAGACAUCUCUUGUUUAAUUUGGUAGGAUGCUCCCUGGGGAAAUGAUCAGUCAGAUGCAGCAUCUGUUGCCAAGGGGUACUGCUGGAUCUAGUUGCCAUGGAAAUAGUUUUAUCUGCAUGCCUCUAGAUGGGGCUGUCACAUAAACUGUUCAGAUCACCUAACUAGCACAAACUUGUAAAGUUUGCAAGUAAACAAAAUCUCUG